rnacentral:lncRNA from 1 species
UCCCAUUUCCUUGGAGGGCUAUAUUAUUAAUUUGAAGCCCAUUAUUUUUUGAGUCGAGCCUUGUUUGGUCCACUAAAUAACCCUAACCUAACUUACCUUGUUUGAUUAUUUACUUGGCUUAUAUUCUUGGCCUUCCUCUCGGCCUCCAUAUGAAGAAUGCCCAAUCUCUCUCUGUGAUCUUCUCCUCUUGGUAUCUCCUCUUCUAUGUGACCUUUGUGGUUCUUUUCUAGUGGGCAUAUUAUUGUUCUUCAUCUUGUCCAACUCAUAGCAAACGGAGGUGGGAACUUAGUGGUGGUGGUUUGGAGUUAUCUCAACCCGUUGGUGGUGUCGACUUUCUUGGUGAAACUAAGCCCAGUUUACCUUGGUGUUUGCUAGAAUUUGGCCCUACAUCUGGUAUCAGAGCUGCCGGUCAUCUCUUCCGACCAAAAAAUCCACUAAAACGGCGAUGGGUCUCGCGAUUUCUCAAAGGGACUGAAUCUGCAAUUGUCAAUUCCGACCAAACACGACCUCUAUUAGACGAAGGGAGGCCGGACCCAUAACCAGCAGGUGGAGGCGCCUACAGUGGUGAGGCGCAUGGGGCGGCUACCGGCGGCGGUGCGUGGAGGACUGCCUGCAUAGUUUUUUCGUGCCAUUUCACUCAUUUUGAUUUCCUGAACGUACUAAUGUGUUUGGUUUAGUGUUUCAGGUUGUGCAUAAAAGAUUGGACAAUUUUGCCCCUACCUUCAAUCUGCAUUGUUGCUGAUCAGAAUUGAUAUAUUUGCUGAAUCUUUAGGGUGAAUUGUGGUGACCCUAAAGCAGCAAAUUCGCAUCUCUCUCGAUUAUAAGGACUCAGACACGUCCGCUCUGAUAAAUUGGCUUAACCCGUUAAUUUUCAGCAUUAGCACGUCACCGUGUGGGGUGAUAAUAGGUUGGGGGUUGUCAUCACUUAGCAAACAUUGCUUGUGCUAGAAUUAGGGUUACGUGCUCUUGAUUGUUUUUUGAUUGAGUAUUUGUUCUUGGGAUAAAAUCAGUUUUGUAAUUGUUAGUGAUCUAAUUACUGUGAGACUAGUUAUCUGUUAGACGUAUUUUUUGCUGCAUUAUUAUUUCCGCUGCUUACUUAUUCCGUUAGAAAUACCGUGACCUUACCCGUUCGAACAUUCCCUUCAUCUAAGACCGUGAGUCUUACGAAACCCUGUGAAUUUAGAACGGUGUAUACUGUCUGUGACCCUAGGACUACUUUUUGUGGUUUGAUUGUGGUUUGUGCAUUUUGACAGUUGUGUAAAGAUGACAACUCACAACUUUGAUUUGGAAAUUUUUAAUGGAAAGGGUGACUUUGCUAUUAGGCAACAAAAAAUGAAGGGCAUUUUAGUUCAACAAAAGGUUUCAAAGGCCAUUGAAUGUAAUUUUUCAAGUGAUUUUUCACAAGAACAAAGAGAAAAAGCCGAUGAGCUUGUUUAUACCUCAAUCAUUUUACACUUGUCUGACGUCAUUUUAAGAAAGGUGGGUAAACUGAAAACCAUUAAAGAACUUUGAAAAAAAUUAGAAGACUUGUAUUUAUUUAAGUCAACACCGAAUAAACUUUACUUGCUUGAACGUUUUUUCAGUUUCAAAAUGGAUCCUUCAAAGGAUCUUGAUGACAAUUUAGACGUGUUUAACAAAUUGGUGCAAGAUAUAGUUAACUGUGAUGAGACUGUGUCUGAAACUUAUAAAGCUAUAAUUUUGCUCAAUGCAAUUCUUGAUUCCUAUAAGGAAGUUAAGAACGUCAUUAAGUAUGUAGAGACACGUUAAUACUUAAAAUUGUCAUAGAUUCCCUUAGAAGUAAAUAAAUGGAAAUUAGGGUUGAAAAACAUGAUAAGAGAAACGGUGAGGUACAUAUGAUGCAAGAUAGAACUCAAUUUAGGCAAAAUAGUCAUGAUGGAUAUCAAACUAGUGGCGAGUCAAGUGGUAAUGGAUGGAAAAAGAAGAGCAAAGGUACCUCUAGAUCAAAAUCUAGGACUAAAGCGAGAAAAUGCUAUGGUUGUGAAAACACAAGGCAUUUUAUAAAAGAUUGUCAUAAGGAGAAAGGUAAGCUAAAGGUUAAGGAGAAAGAUGAGGUCAAUGUGUUAGCAUCUACUUCCGAUAUAAAUGGUGGUGAGGUCUAUAUGAUUACAAGUCCCGUUGCAUAUCAGGAACAUGUUUGACACCCCUGAUAAAUAACAUGUUUGACACCCCUUGAGGCGCAUGGGGCGGCUACCGGCGGCGGUGCGUGGAGGACUGCCUGCAUAGUUUUUUCGUGCCAUUUCACUCAUUUUGAUUUCCUGAAUGUACUAAUGUGUUUGGUUUAGUGUUUCAGGUUGUGCAGAAAAGAUUGGACGAUUUUGCCCCUACCUUCAAUCUGCAUUGUUGCUGAUCAGAAUUGAUAUAUUUGCUGAAUCUUUAGGGUGAAUUGUGGUGACCCUAAAGCAGCAAAUUCGCAUCUCUCUCGAUUAUACGGACUCAGACACUACUGAAUUAAAUCUAACUGCUAAUUCCCGUAUGUAUGAGUGAAUACUUAACUCUGGUGCAUCUUUUCAUGUGACGUCUGAAAAGAAUUGAUUUUAUAAGUUGCAUGAAUCUAAUGUUGGGCAUGUUGUGCUGUGUGAUAAUUUUGCCUAUACUAUUGCUGGAAUUGGUGACAUAAACGUAAAAUUUGACACAGAUUUUGUGUCUACGUUAAAGGACGUUAGAUAUAUUUCUGAGUUGUCUAGGAAUCUGAUUUCAGUAGAGAGACUUGAAAAGGAUGACUUUACUGGUAAAAUUGGAAAUGGUAUGCUAAAAAUGAUUAAGGGUGCUUUAGUUUCCAUUAAGGGAAUUAAGAAAAACGAUAUAUAUAUUACUACUGGGGAAGUGAUUAGAGGUGUGAACCCCUUUAUCUCCUCUGCCAAGAUUGAUCACACACACACAUGACAUAAUAGACUUGCUCACGUAGGGGUCAAGGGACUUAAGCUACUUAAUGAAAAAGGUGCUUUUAGUAAUGACUGUGUGUCAGAUUUGUCAUUUUGUGAUCAUUGUGUGCUUGAUAAGUAUCAUAAAACUUCUUUCUCCACGAGUGUUAAUAGAGCUAAAGGCAUGCUCGAAUAUGUGCACUCUGAUCUAUGGGGUCCUGCUAAUAAUCCAACAUCCGGUGGGAAUAGGUAUUUUCUGUCUAUUAUCGAUGACUACACUAGAAAAGUGUGGGUCUAUCUUUUGAAGGAUAAAUCUGAGACCUUUAAUAGUUUUAACAAUUGGAAGAGACAAGUGGAAAACCAAACUAGCAAGAAAAUCAAAUUUUUAAGGACAGAUAAUGACCUAGAAUUUUGCAAUAAGGAAUUUGAUAGUAUGUGUAAAGAAAGUGGCAUAACUAGACAUAAGACCGUUCCUUACACUCCUCAACAAAAUGGGGUAGCAGAAAGGAUGAAUAGGACCAUACUAGAUAAAGUACGUUGCAUGAAGAUUAGUUCUAGUGUUCCCAAGUCAUUUUGGGGUGAGGCUGUUAUGACCGCUUGUUAUUUGAUUAAUCUGACUCCUUCUGCUGCAUUGAAUGGUGACACUCUGCAUGAGAGAUGGUCGGGUAAACUGAGUGAUUACUCGAUGCUUAGAACUUUUGGCUGUACAGCUUUUUCUCAUCAAAGUGAGGGUAAGCUGAAACCUAGAGCUAGGAAGUGUAUUUUUCUAGGAUACCCCGAGGGUGUUAAGGGUUAUAAGUUAUGGGAUAGAAGCCAAAAGGGGGUUAAGAUCAUCAUAAGUAGAGAUAUCACAUUUAACGAAAAUGAGAUGCCGUCUAUUAAAGGGGAAACUGAACCUGAGAGUGAAGCUGAACCGGGUGAAGAGAGAGACCAGUUUAAGGUCGAGUUAGGAAAACUCAAUCCACCUGCCCCUACUGCUUCAAAUGAGGUGGAGACUCAAGCUCAAGAACUCGAGGUGGAGAAUAGUAAUGAAAUAGUGACAGAAGAGCACUAUGAGGAAGAAAAUCUUUUAGCUAACUAUAACUUAGUUAAUGAGAGAGAGAGGAGACAAACGAGAGAACCUAGAAGGUUCAGUUUUAAAUCUGAAUUAGCUUUCGCCCAGGCUAGUUAUGAAGAACUAGCUGAUAAAGAGCCAAAGACCUUUGAAGAGGUAAUAGGCAGUGAUCAAUCUAAUGAAUGAUUUAAGGCAAUGAAAGAAGAGAUGAGUUCUCUAGAAAAGAAUUAUACUUGGGAGCUAGUACCUAGGCCUAAGAACAAAUCAAUUGUUGAUUGCAAAUGAAUCUUUAAGGUUAAGGAAGUAACUAGCAGCUCGGAACCCCUAAGGUUUAAAUCUAGGUUAGUAGUUAAAGGUUAUACACAGAAGGAGAGCGUUGAUUAUAAUGAAAUUUUCUCACCCGUUGUUAAGUACACUACUAUUAGGGUCAUGCUCGCAUUGGUUGCACACUUUGACUGGGAACUCGAACAACUUGACGUAAAAACUAUUUUUUUACAUGGUAAGCUUGAUGAACAAAUUUUCAUGAAUCAACCAAAAGGUUUUAUGGAUGAGUCAAAACCUGAUUAUGUUUGUUUUCUGAGAAGAUCCUUGUAUGGUUUAAAACAAUCUCCUAGACAGUGGUAUAAGAGGUUUGAUUCCUUUAUACUCACUAUAGGGUUCCAAAGAAGUAAAUCUGAUCACUACCUGUAUUUUCAAUACAAUGAGACUAAUGAUAAUUAUCUGUUUUUUGUUGCUCUAUAUGGACGACGUGCUUUCGAUUGGAUCAUCCUCUAAGUAGAUAAAUAACAUAAAAGCAAAACUAAGUGGUGAAUUUGACAUGAAAGACCUACGUAAGGCUAAGAGAAUCUUAGGUAUUGAAAUCGAAAAAGAUAGGUCAAAUUCUGUUUUGUUUUUACAUCAGUCUCCAUACAUAUCCAAAGUAUUGAAGAAAUUUAAUAUGAGUGAUUGCAAACCUGUCACGUUGUCUCUUGCUAAUCAUUUUGUUUUAUCAAAGGAACAAUCCCCUUACAAUGAGCGUGAAGUAGAAUACAUGAGUAGAGUGCCUUACUCUAAUGUGAUUGGUUCCAUAAUGUAUUUGAUGGUUUGUACUAGAUCGAAUUUAGGUUUUGCUGUUAGUACUCUCAGUAGAUAUAUGGCUAAUUCGGGCCCUGAACAUUUGGAAGCGCUAAAGUGGCUAUUAAAGUACUUGAAGGGUACAAGUGACGUAAGUUUAAAAUUUAGUGCUAAUAAAGAAGGUAUAAAAUGAAAGGGUUUUGUAGAUGCUGACUACGCGGGAGAUAGGGAUGGUAGGAAAUCUACUUCGUCUUACGUGUUUACCUUAUCUAAUUCAUGUGUUAGUUGGAAAUCACAGUUACAACAUAUUAUUGCACUAUCCACUACAGAAUCAGAAUAUAUUGCUACCACUGAAACUAUUAAAGAAGUUCUAUGGCUUAGAGGUCUUCUUCAUAAACUAUGUGUCUUGAAUGAUUAUGUGGUAGUGUAUUAUGAUAGUCAGUCAUCUAUACAUUUAUGCGAGAACCCCCUUUUUCACGAGCGCACUAAACACAUUGAUGUUAGACUUUACUUCAUUAGAGAUAUAGUAUCUCAAGAGGUGAUAAGAUUUGAAAAGGUCCACACCCACUACUACCUCUCUGAUAUGGGGACGAAGGUACUGCCACUGGCAAAGUUUAGAAGUUGCAAGGAACUUCUAAACAUUGGUACAAGUAAAUGAUUUCCAAUUUUUUAUCGAUUUUCUAUUAGAUGUGUCACUAAUGGGAGAUAUUUUUCUUUUGCAGAUCCUUUGACACCAAGGUAGAGGUUGUUAGGCAAUUUGUUGUCAAACGACCCCCUGGGCUAUGAUGUAAUCCCGGUUCUAUUAUCAAUCGGUCUUGGCUAUAUGAUUAAUUAGUAUAUCGACACAUUUAUCAAGACAACCCAAUCCACAUUCUUAUGGACCGUUAGAAGCAACAUAUUGUUAAUAGUGUUGCUCACGGUUCGUCCCAUUUCCUUGGAGAGCUAUGUUAUUAAUUUGAAGCCCAUUAUUUUUUGAGUCGAGCCUUGUUUGGUCCACUAAAUAACCCUAACCUAACUUACCUUGUUUGUUUAUUUACUUGGUUUAUAUUCUUGGCCUUCCUCUCGGCCUCCAUAUGAAGAAUGCCCAAUCUCUCUCUCUGUAAUCUUCUCCUCUCGGUAUCUCCUCUUCUAUGUGACCUUUGUGGUUCUUUUCUAGUGGGCAUAUUAUUGUUCUUCAUCUUGUCCAACUAAUAGCAACCGGAGGUGGGAACUUAGUGGUGGUGGUUUGGAGUUGUCUCAACCCGUUGGUGGUGUCGACUUUCUUGGUGAAACUGAGCCCGAUUUACCUUGGUGUUUGCUGGAAUUUGGCCCUACAGAAUCACAUAAAUGAAGUACUCUAUCUCGAUCUCCAGAUGAAGCAGAAUAUCGAGCCUUGGCCGCAACUACCAAUGAGCUUAUUUGGAUUUAGCAAUUGCUUCAUGACCUUAAUAUUUCUUCUCCUACACCUGCUUUAAUAUUUUGUGACAAUCAAGCCGCCAUACACAUCGCUACUAAGCCUAUAUUCCAUGAAAGAACCAAGCAUAUAGAACUGGACUGCCACUUCAUUCGAGACAAAAUCACUGAUGGCUUUGUUAAGCUGCAUCCUUUUCGCACUCAACAUCGGCUAGCUGACAUAUUCUCUAAGCCUUUGCCUGCCGCUUCUCUAACUAAAUUAGUUACACAGUUGGACGUUAGUUUGUUGUUAGGGUAGUUAGUCAUCCACAUGUCAAUUUUUUAUUGAGUCUUGUAAAUAGUUUGUUAGUAAGCUGACGAUGUAAAGUUCACUUUCACGGAAAUAAGAUCAAUCAGGUUCUUUUCCUUUCUCCCAAUAAAAAUCUUGUUGUAAAAUGGGUUUGGAAUCCACAAAUUUUUGCUAAUCAUAGUCAUUCACUCUACAAAUU